GCCGUCCACGUGCGCACAUUUGUCUCCUGUGCUCGCGGGCGGACAGGUAGGGGCAGGCGUGGAGUCGGGGUGUCCCGGGGCGGGAAGACUCCCCGUGAAGCCCCCGGGCAACGCCCCUGCCCCGCGCCCGUGGCCGAGUAGGGAGCGCAGGGGUCGAUUUCUGGAGGAGGAGGCGCGUGCGUCUCCGUGGCUGUCCGGCUGGGCGACGACGGGCCCGCACACCGGCAGCGGUGUUUCUGCUCCAUCAAGGACCCCCAGAGCGCAGGCAUCCGGUCCAGGCGGCACCGCAGGGCGCCUCGUCCAGGCUUCUGGGGGAGCUUCUCUGGACCGCGAAGGCCGCCCCGUUGGGAAACCGCGCACGCCACACGAAUGCACUUGGAUAGAUUCGAGGAGAGGAGCCGUAAAAUCGAAAAUCAUGUUUCUCCAGUGCUGUUCUGAGAUAGCCCAACAGCAACCUGAACUGAUUCACCAUCUGCAUAGAAACCAGAAGUUGAUGAGCAAAGUCCAAAUUCUUUUGGCACCAUGUUCAAAGCAGAGCCUUCCCACCCCCUCAUUAACUGCUACUGUGCAUUCAUUUAACAAACACUUGGAGCCCCUGUUCUGUGCUGGCACUGGGGGAACACUGGAAUCAGUCCCUCAGAACCUCUGGGCAAGGGGAUGAAAUUGAGUUUCCAGACCUACAAAGCUGUGAACUGGAUCCUGUCCCACGUCCUGCCCACCUGUGAGGUCCUAUGAGCCGCAGGCUUCCAGGCUCUUUGGCUGCCUAGAGACCUACGUAAAUGGCCUGAAGCGAGUGGUCACGAUCUCCCCAAGUCCUAAGUCCAGUCACCUCUCCCAGUCCCUGCGGUUGCAUUCACCCUUCUCUGGGCCUGCACACUUUCCACCUCCCCAAGUUCCCCUCCAGCCCUGGGUAGGGUUAGGAGCACCCAGCAAGAAAGAAGGGGGCUGUGGAGCUGCUGAGACGCCAGGUCAGGGUUCCCAGUGGGGCCAGAGACAAAGGGCAAAGCAGAACCCUCGCCCCCCAGUAAGGCUAGUCCUCUGGCCCCCAAGGACCCACCGUGCACAAACGGGGGGCUGUCGGGUGCCAGAGUGGUGAGCACAGCCCCCAAAUGCUCGUCUCACCAAGUCGUUGCCCUGCCUCCCAACCUGGCCUUGAGAGCGGAGUCCAAGACCGACCAACGUGCCGAUGCGAUCUGUGAGGGUCGCGCGCCGGCUAGGAGUCGCUGCCAGCGCUCUGGUCUGAGCCCUGCGUCGGAGCAGCCGGGCAGGUGGCAGGCGCCGGUGCACCGGACUCCAGACAGAGAAGAAGGCUUGAUAUGAACAACGUGCCGCCUCAACAGGACCAGGAAAUGGGGAACAGAGUGCGACGGUUUCGCUGUGAGUCCACUCUGCUUGGGAAAUGCGGCUUCUCUGCUUCUGGCGGGAAGCGCCACGUGCCCUGCGAGCAGGAGGCCGGGAGGCCAGGAACCGAG
rnacentral:lncRNA from 1 species